rnacentral:rRNA from 1 species
AACGAACGCUGGCGGCAGGCUUAACACAUGCAAGUCGAGCGCCCCGCAAGGGGAGCGGCAGACGGGUGAGUAACGCGUGGGAAUCUACCCAUCUCUACGGAAUAACGCAUGGAAACGUGUGCUAAUACCGUAUACGUCCUUCGGGAGAAAGAUUUAUCGGAGAUGGAUGAGCCCGCGUUGGAUUAGCUAGUUGGUGGGGUAAAGACCUACCAAGGCGACGGUCCAUAGCUGGUCUGAUAGGAUGAUCAGCCACACUGGGACUGAGACACGGCCCAGACUCCUACGGGAGGCAGCAGUGGGGAAUAUUGGACAAUGGGCGCAAGCCUGAUCCAGCCAUGCCGCGUGAGUGAUGAAGGCCCUAGGGUUGUAAAGCUCUUUCACCGGUGAAGAUAAUGACGGUAACCGGAGAAGAAGCCCCGGCUAACUUCGUGCCAGCCGCCGCAGUAAAAC